ACAAGGCCAUCCAGGUCUUCCAGGUUUUCCCGGUGAUGAAGGAAGUGUGGGACUACCAGGCCCCCCUGGCCGAUAUGGGCCCCCAGGGCCCCCUGGACCACCAGGUCUAGAUGGACUGUAUGGGCUUACAGGUCCAAAAGGGAUGAAGGGGGCAAGUGGCAUAGAUAUCCCUGGCCCUCGAGGACCAGAUGGUUUUCCAGGAGUCAAAGGGGCCAGGGGCUACCAAGGACCUCCAGGAACUACUAUUCCUGGGACUAAAGGCCAAAGGGGCCCACCAGGGAAUCCAGGCCUCCCAGGACUCCCAGGUGAACCUGGUUACCCUGGUAUAAUCUGCCAAACACCUUUGCAGGGACCUGCUGGAGGUCAAGGAUUUGAAGGACCUACAGGACCCCCAGGUCCUCCUGGAGAACCUGGGAUACCAGGCUCCAGCCUUUUGUUCAAAGGAGACCCAGGACCAACUGGCCCCC
ensembl:lncRNA